rnacentral:rRNA from 1 species
UGGCUUCCAUCUGGAAGAAUCUGGAGACAGGUGCUGCAUGGCUGUCGUCAGCUCGUGUCGUGAGAUGUUGGGUUAAGUCCCGCAACGAGCGCAACCCUGCCUUUAGUUGCCAGCAGUUCGGCUGGGCACUCUAAAGGGACUGCCGGUGUUAAACCGGAGGAAGGUGGGGAUGACGUCAAGUCCUCAUGGCCUUUAUGACCAGGGCUACACACGUACUACAAUGGCCGAUACAAAGGGCAGCGACACUGCGAGGUGAAGCCAAUCCCGUAAAAUCGGUCUCAGUCCGGAUUGGAGUCUGCAACUCGACUCCAUGAAGUUGGAAUCGCUAGUAAUCGUGGAUCAGCAUGCCACGGUGAAUACGUUCCCGGGCCUU